UCGGUGAAAUUGUGGUAUCGGUGAAGACGCCGAUUACCCGCAACGGGACGGAAAGACCCCAUGCACCUUCACUAUAGCUUAACAUUGAGAUUGGGUACAGGAUGUGUAGGAUAGGCGGGAGAUGUUGAAGCGUGUUCGCCAGGAUACGUGGAAUCAACCUUGAAAUACCGCCCUUUCUGUAUUCGGUUUCUAACUCCCUAAUGGGGAGGACAUUGUUUGGUGGGUAGUUUGACUGGGGUGGUCGCCUCCAAAAAGGUAACGGAGGCUUUCAAAGGUAAGCUCAGUACGCUUGGUAACCGUACGCGGAGUGCAAUGGCAUAAGCUUGCUUGACUGUGAGACCGACAAGUCGAACAGGGUCGAAAGACGGACAUAGUGAUCCGGUGGUUCUGUAUGGAAGGGCCAUCGCUCAAAGGAUAAAAGGUACGCUGGGGAUAACAGGCUGAUCUCCCCCAAGAGCUCAUAUCGACGGGGAGGUUUGGCACCUCGAUGUCGGCUCGUCACAUCCUGGGGCUGGAGAAGGUCCCAAGGGUUGGGCUGUUCGCCCAUUAAAGUGGCACGCGAGCUGGGUUCAGAACGUCGCGAGACAGUUCGGUCCCUAUCUGUUGUGGGCGUUGGAAGUUUGAGUGGAUCUGACCUUAGUACGAGAGGACCGGGUUGGACAGACCUCUGGUGAACCUGUUAUGCCGCCAGGUGUACGGCAGGGUAGCUACGUCUGGAAUAGAUAAGCGCUGAAAGCAUCUAAGUGCGAAACUAGCCACGAGAUGAGACUUCCUUAUAGGGUCGUAGAAGAUGACUACGUUGAUAGGCCAUAGGUGUAAAGGUUGAGAGACCAAAGCCAAGUGGUACUAAUAGCCCGAAGCUUUCUCAUG
rnacentral:ncRNA from 1 species